rnacentral:rRNA from 1 species
GACGAACCGUGCGAACGUUGUUCGGAAUCACUGGGCAUAAAGGGCGCGUAGGCGGCUCGCGAGGUCGGGGGUGAAAUCCCGCAGCUUAACUGCGGAAGGGCCUUCGAUACCGGCGGGCUGGAGGAAGGUAGGGGUGCGCGGAACUUCUGGUGGAGCGGUGAAAUGCGUUGAUAUCAGAAGGAACGCCGGCGGCGAAAGCGGCGCACUGGACCUUUUCUGACGCUGAGGCGCGAAAGCCAGGGGAGCAAACGGGG